UUUAUGCCAUUGCGACAGGGAUAGUAGCGGUUAUCCUUUUGCUUUUUUCGUUGAUUGGGUUGGGAAAUGUGGUUGGGAAAAAGGAUGGUUGUAUAUAUAUAUAGUAUGUUGAAACUAUUACAAAAAAGCAAAAGAUAGUAGCGGAUAGCCCGGUGACAA
rnacentral:sRNA from 1 species